AUUGAACGCUGGCGGCAUGCCUUACACAUGCAAGUCGAACGGCAGCUCGGGCUUCGGCCUGGCGGCGAGUGGCGAACGGGUGAGUAAUGCAUCGGAACGUGCCCAGUAGUGGGGGAUAGCCCGCCGAAAGCCGGAUUAAUACCCCAUACGACCUGAGGGUGAAAGCGGGGGACCGAAAGGCCUCGCGCUAUUGGAGCGGCCGAUGUCGGAUUAGCUAGUUGGUGGGGUAAAGGCUUACCAAGGCGACGAUCCGUAGCUGGUCUGAGAGGACGACCAGCCACACUGGGACUGAGACACGGCCCAGACUCCUACGGGAGGAAGCAGUGGGGAAUUUUGGACGAUGGGGGCAGUCCGGAUCCAGCCAUGCCGCGUGAGGGAAGAAGGCGUUCGGGUUGUAAACCGCUUUUGUUCGGAAAGAAAUCCUCUGGGCUAAUACCCCGGGGGGAUGACGGUACCGGAAGAAUAAGCACCGGCUAACUACGUG
rnacentral:rRNA from 1 species